UUCCACUGCUGCAGUCCAGGCUUUGAGUCAUCCAGAAGCCUGUCUUGGUCCUAUAAGGAUGUGUAGGGCUGGGGGACUGGCUGAUGAGAAUUGUAAAAAAAGAAAAAAGAUUUAACCUUUUAUUUAACUAGGCAAGUCGGUUAAGAACAAAUUCUUAUUUACAAUGAUGGCCUAGCCCGGCCAAACGACGCUAUGCACCGCCCUAUGGGAGUAGUAAUGUGCAUGCAUGGGUGUAUUUGUUGUGUGUGCAUAAUGUUGCCUUGUGCAUGCUGCGUGUGUGUGCAUGCAGCUGUGAGGAUGUUCAAAGAUGGAUGCGAACAAUGUGUGUGUGACUGUGGCUGGUCAUAAUGUUUGUUUCUGUGUGACUGUUCAUUAUAUGGAUGUGCACAGCAGUCUCUGCCACUGCUACGCUGAUGCCCACUCUCCUACAGAGACAGGGUUCCCUGCACUGUUGUAUGCUGUGCUGCCUCCCAGAGCAUGUCUCACUGCCCCAGUCAAACAGAACUAGAGUGAACUGACCCACUGCACUGGCUCCUUCAGUCAGUCAGUUAUUCUGCAUCAGUCCUUGCAAUUUUGAAUCCUUGGGACGUCCCCGAAGGAUUCAAAAAAUGGUUAAGGUUAUGAUAAGGAUAGGUGUUAAGUUUAGGGUUUAAGUUAGGGACGUACCAAGGAUUGCAUAUAGCAGGGUUUCCCAAACUUGGUCCUGCCCACCGUACCGCACAAUUUCACACUGCCUUCUGACGCAGCCUGCGACCCGUUGUUUUGGAAAAAACAGCCCACUGAUUUUUAGGGUCUGUCACUGAAUUGUCCUGCCCUGUAACCAUUUUGUUGUGUUUGCUUGGUUGGACAUUUAUGAUUUUAUGGACUAAAUGGACUUUGGCUCAGUGGCAGUAUUGUGUUUUAAAGGCUGUCAAACCAUUACAUGAUGAAUGCUGCUUUUGAAGGGCCCUCCACAAGAAUAAUGCAAUUUCUGCUUAUGCAGUUAGCCACUGGGGACAUAUGUCAAUUCAACGUCUAUUCCACGUUGGUUCAAUGUAAUUUAAUUGAAAUUACGUGGGAACAACGUUGAUUCAACCAGGGUGUGCACAGUGGGUAUUUUCAGAAUGUAAACCCAUAAACCUGACCAAAUAGAUAACCUAUUCCAAUUUUUAUUUUACUUUCUUGGAAAAAACAUUCAUUUACAAUAACAUUGUAACAGUUGCCAUGGAGAGGAGAGUUAGUAGAGCCAAUAGGCCUUAUGCAUAUGCCAUGAUCGAACACACUUUCCUUCCGGUGUGGCGAUAUCCGGUCAGUCUAGAUGUUAUCGACGAUAUAACGUUACUACCACUGUCGCCGUUUUUUUUACUAGGUGUCUUCAGGACUCAAAUUAAUAUUAAUGAUGUACAUCGAAAUGUUAAAUCAGCCUCCGAGACUCCAGCUAGCAAGAAUGAAAAGGGGUUCCAGAUGUCUAUGUAGCUUCCUAUAUACAACUAUGAAGAUGGUGAUAAAGCACUCCGUACCAGUGAUGGUGGUCCAAAGCCACUAUGUGCAAUCAUCUGCUGGCCCUUCUUUACCAGACAGCGCACUGCUCUCAACUAAACAUUCUUGCUGCACCACCAGUUCAAAGCAGCACAGACACAGUACAGUGUUGGCACAAGCCAAUAACACUUGGUGUGAAGCCAGGUCCGGUUUGAUGGGAUAGAGUUCCGUAAACCUACUAACUCGUGUGCUGAUGGAAUAAGUUAAGUUGGAGGUUCCUAGAAUGGAAACAUUUUAGAAAACAUUUUCUUGUGAUUGUUUUUAUAUCCAGAUGAUAAGCCUAAACAGGGCGUCUACGAUGUAAUGACAAAUGUUUGGGACAAAGACUGGGGGGAAAUCUAUAAAUCUGUAUAUUUUAAUUCAUUUUAUUUGAACUUUUGGGCUUGUGCUGUUUAUGGAAAAGUUACAUGAGUCUUUGUCAUAGGAGUCUCUCCAACCUGAUGUUAAGGUUUUAAAAUGUUUUGCAGAAGUUCUCUCUACAAAGCGCUCAAUGGAUACAUGCCUGACAUUGACCUUCUCCGCGUCUCAGAAACGUAUGGCAACUUUUCUCCACUUACUGCCACUCUUGUGACAACAAUGGAAAUGUCAGCUGACGUGCCCCUGGUUGAGUCCGCCUUUGGUUCAGUGCAAGCCGGCAGUGUUCUGUC